rnacentral:rRNA from 1 species
GACGAACGCUGGCGGCGUGCUUAACACAUGCAAGUCGAACGAAGUGGAGAACGGGUGAGUAAGACGUGGGAAACCUGCCCUCCUUUACGGGACAAGCCUUGGAAACGGGGUCUAAUACCGAAUAAGGGGGGAGGGGCUCGGGGCCGAUCAGCUUGUUGGUGGGGUGAUGGCUUACCAAGGAGGUGACGGGUAGCCGGCCUGAGAGGGAGACCGGCAUCGUUGGGACUGCGAUACGGCCCCGACUCCUACGGGAGGCAGCAGUGGGGGAUAUUGCCCAAUGCGCGAAAACCUGAUGCGGGGGCGCCGCGUGGGGGUUGAAGGCGUUCGGGUUGUAAAUCUCUUUCGCUAUCGAACGGGUAGGUGGCCAGAAAGCGCCGGCUAACUACGUGCCAGCAGCCGCGGUAAUUC